rnacentral:rRNA from 1 species
UACGGGGGGGGCAAGCGUUGUUCGGAAUUACUGGGCGUAAAGAGCUCGUAGGCGGCUUGUUGCGUCGACCGUGAAAACCCGGGGCUCAACUUCGGGCUUGCGGUCGAUACGGGCGGGCUAGAGUUCGGUAGGGGAGACUGGAAUUCCUGGUGUAGCGGUGAAAUGCGCAGAUAUCAGGAGGAACACCGGUGGCGAAGGCGGGUCUCUGGGCCGAUACUGACGCUGAGGAGCGAAAGCGUGGGGAGCGAACAGG